rnacentral:rRNA from 1 species
CACACGACUCUCGGCAACGGAUAUCUCGGCUCUCGCAUCGAUGUAGAACGUAGCGAAAUGCGAUACCUGGUGUGAAUUGCAGAAUCCCGCGAACCAUCGAGUCUUUGAACGCAAGUUGCGCCCGAGGCCACUCGGCCGAGGGCACGCCUGCCUGGGCGUCACGC